AUAUGACUGCAGUGUCAUUAUGGUGGGUGUCCACAUCUAUUCACUCUGCAGGAUGCUGUAAAACUUUGUGAAAGGAGUUUGAUACAUGUUGAUGAGUCAGCGAAGCCCACUUCUGUCCCACUACAGUGACACCGAGGUAUUUAGGCUUGAGGCGAAGAGGAAGGGAAGGAGAUGGAAAUAAGGACGAGAGCGAGUAAAAAAAUGUCCAGAUCAUCUCACCUUACUUCACUCUGCUGCCUGCUGUUCUUGUCCAGCUGCAGGCUGCAUCGUGACACCACGGACACAUAGUCUACCUACGAGCACUUUCUGUCUUACCGUCAUAGGACUCGCAGUGACUCCCACGCAAUAGAAGAGGGCUGUGAUUUUAUGUGUAGCAUCACCCACCUGUUGUAACGCUGCACACAUGCACAUACAUAGCAGGUAGCUUAAUAAAGUAGAUAAAAAAUAACUGUUGUUCCAUUUCUCUGUAUUGUUUUCCAGUUUUACUACUAACUGUUGUUUGUUAAGCUGAUGUUUGAAUUCAUUGUUUCCAUAUAUGCCCAUUCUUUUACCUGAAAAUAUCUAGACUUACUUCUUACACUCAGUGUUUCCUCUCAUCCUGGACUGUCGUACACUCAAAAUUAUCCCCCCAAAAAUGUGAUUCACAGAAAUGUAAUAGUCCCGAAU